rnacentral:RNase_P_RNA from 1 species
UGCGAUGAACCGCCGCCGCGUUGUUGCGGCGCUGCCGCGGCAACGAGGAAAGUCCGGGCUCCGCAGGGCAUGAUGCCGGCUAACGGCCGGGGACGCAAUGCCGGACACAUUGAUGUUUGGUAUUGCGUUACAGACAGCGCAACAGAAAGUAUACCGCCAUGUUUCCGCUACGGCGGCCGCAUGGUAAGGGUGAAAUGGCGGGGUAAGAGCCCGCCGCGGAAUCGGUAACGAUUCCGGCACGGCAAGCCUCAUCAGGAGCAAAGCUAAACAGCGCUUGGGUUGUCCCGCCCAGUAAGCGCGGGUAGGCUGCAUGGAAGCCGCCGGUAACGGCGGCCCAAGACAGAUGGCGGCGCCUUUCUAAAACUAGAAGGAACAGAAUCCGGCUUACGGUUCAUCGCUUUUU